rnacentral:rRNA from 1 species
UACGGGGGGUGCGAGCGUUGUCCGGAAUCACUGGGCGUAAAGGGCGCGUAGGUGGUUUGUCGCGUUGUUCGUGAAAACUCACAGCUCAACUGUGGGCGUGCGGGCGAUACGGGCAGACUGGAGUACUGCAGGGGAGACUGGAAUUCCUGGUGUAGCGGUGGAAGUGACGCCAGAUAUCGAGGAGGAACACCGAUGGCGAAAGGCAGAUCUCUGGGCCGGU